CUGGUAGGUAGAAGAUUGGCAAGCGACAAAUGCGUGCACUCAAGAUCUGGGUGUCUUCCAGCAUGAUGGCAAAUGGCUAUUACCUCUGGUGCCAAUGGGUGAUUUCUGCCAGAGGAAAUUAACCAAUCCCUUGAAAAAGUGGAAAAAUUGCCAUUGUUGGGAUUCUUAGGAUAGGAGAUUUUCAUGAUGAUAACUCUCUUCAAUCCUCGCCCUCUUCUCCUGCUCCAGAAUCUCUUCAAAAUCGUACCCAAGAUUUCAGAGUUGUUCACAACUU
rnacentral:sRNA from 2 species